GUUGCUCUGUGCAAGACCCAAGGAAAGCUAGGAGGCUGUACAGUUAUCUCCCUUGAUAUAAUUCUAAACUAUACAACCUACUACCUCAACCUGGGAACAUGCAGUCACAAUGGC
rnacentral:miRNA from 1 species